rnacentral:rRNA from 1 species
AUUGAACGCUGGCGGAAUGCUUUACACAUGCAAGUCGAACGGUAGAGGGGGCAACCCCUCGAGAGUGGCGAACGGGUGAGUAAUAUAUCGGAGCGUGCCCAGUCGUGGGGGAUAACGUAGCGAAAGUUACGCUAAUACCGCAUACGAUCUAAGGAUGAAAGCGGGGGAUCGCAAGACAUCGCGCGAUUGGAGCGGCCGAUAUCAGAUUAGGUAGGUGGUGGGGUAAAGGCUCACCAAGCCAACGAUCUGUAGCUGGUCUGAGAGGACGACCAGCCACACUGGAACUGAGACACGGUCCAGACUCCUACGGGAGGCAGCAGUGGGGAAUUUUGGACAAUGGACGCAAGUCUGAUCCAGCCAUUCCGCGUGCAGGAUGAAGGCCCUCGGGUUGUAAACUGCCUUUGUACGGAACGAAAAGGUCUCUCUUAAUACGGGGGACUCAUGACGGUACCGUAAGAAUAAGCACCGGCUAACUACGUGCCAGCCGCCGCGGUAAUAC